AUGGCAUCAGGCUUUCCGUUUGUCCAUCGGACUGUUGGCUCCAUCUUGUUAUGGACAAACACCCGACCCAGAGCUUCUUGAGAGUUCCUGCUCUCCUGGUUGGACUCUGUUUGGCUCUCGCUGUUUCAGUUUCAACUUCCAGGGAAAGACUUGGGUCGAUGCAGAGCACUUCUGCAAGGCCACCGGUGGGAAUCUGGCUUCAGUCCACUCAGAAGAGGAACAUGAAUUCCUCAGAACCUUCAUUCACCAAGUGAGCGGUGAAAACAGACGGACCUGGAUUGGAGGCUUUGACUCAGUGCAGCCGGGCGUGUGGAUGUGGUCUGAUGGAUCCCCAUUCGACUACAAAAGCUGGGCUCCGGGGGAGCCUAACAACGGAGGUGGAACUGAGCACUGUCUUGAGAUUAACUAUAAGGAUAAAUGGAACGACAACGAGUGCAACAAGAUAUUUCCUUUCCUGUGCUCCAAGAAGCUGUGAGGCCUCCCACCAUCAUGAUCUCACUACAGAUCAUCUAUAAUCUCUUUCAUUGAUUCACUUUCAGUUUGUUGUGCAGACAGAAACAGCUGUCUGCUGACAGACUCACUUUCACUUGUUUAUUAUCUGAAGAGUUAGGAAACGGUUCACAUUUGAGUUUUAACAGAAGGAAACUGACUCUCUGAGCUAGACAAAAACAUAAUCAGUUAUUGGACUUUUAAUCUAUAAAUAACACAAAAUGAAAUACAGAAAACAUUCAAAUACUCUUGACAUCUUUUCCAUUUUAGUUUACUGAAUUUUGUCUGUCAGCUCUGUCUAAAGGUAACCACAUCCACCUCCCAGACAUGAGUGGUGACGAUCUUCUCUUCAAAAAUGUCCAAAUAGAAAAUAAAAGUCCAAUUGUUGUCUGAACAUUCUGUGAUACAAGAGGAGUUUCUGGUGUGUUGGGUUCUUUAUUCAUCCGUUUUCCUUCACUUUAUAAUCAAUAAGCAUUAAAAAAUAAAAGACAUAUUGUCACAAACA